rnacentral:lncRNA from 1 species
AAAAUUUAGAAGAUUGAUUUAAAUUUAUAAAAUUACAACAAUUGUUAGAAAUGUCUUUAAAAAAAUCGUCCCUUUGAAUAUCAUAAAGAGGGCAUUCUAAUAAGAAAUGAAGCUCAUCUUCAACUUUACCAAGUGAGCAAUUAGAACAAAGACGCUGAGAUCUUUCUAUAUGCUUUUUUGAAUAUCUGUCUGUCUCAAUUUUUAAAGAGUGAG